rnacentral:lncRNA from 1 species
ACCGGGACUAAAGGGCGACGCGGCGGGCAGUGGUGGUGGCAACCGUUCGUAUCCCCCUUUAGUCCCGGUUGGUGGCUCAACCCGAGACUAAAGGACUAACACGUGGCCUGCCGUAGUGGGGCGACCGUUGGUAUACCUGUUUAGUCCCGGUUGGUGGUUGAACCCGGGACUAAAAGCCUAACACGUGGCCUGCCGUAGUGGUGGCAACCGUUUGGUAUACCUCUUUAGUCC